rnacentral:sRNA from 1 species
ACAAAUUUGGAGAUGGAGUUCUCACUGAAAUAAUCCACCCUCAAAUGACCUAGCUUCAGAAAGUGAUCAUCCCCACCACGUAAAUGAUGUGUAUCCCAAUCACUGAAGAUUUAAGACUUUGUGUGUACCCCAGUGACUAAAGUAUAGGUUCCUUCCUUUCACAUAGUAACAACCCAUUGCUAACUGGAUGCUAAACAUCACCCCUAAAUACUUAAUUUGCUCCUGUUAUCUGGGCCUACAAAAAGAUACUUGAAAGUGGGUAUACAGAAAAUUUCUGGAAGAACUGCUUAAGAAAGUGAUAACAAUAGUUACCUCUGGGGAAUGGGACUAGAUGACUUGAGGAUGACACACUAAUUAUUUUUGUACCAUCGGCAUUUAUUUUUAUAAUAAAAAAAUACACUGGGCUCCUA